UCCACGCUGUAAACGAUGUCUACUAGGUUGUGGUCGUUCUGACACGGUCACGGCCGAAGCAAAAGUGUUAAGUAGACCGCCUGGGGAGUACGGUCGCAAGGCUAAAACUCAAAGGAAUUGACGGGGGCUCACACAAGCGGUGGAGCAUGUGGAUUAAUUCGAAGCAACGCGCAGAACCUUACCUGGGUUUGACAUGCACGGAUUAGCCCCGGGAAACCGGAGUGACGUCCCUUAGGGAUGGAACGUGCACAGGUGCUGCAUGGCUGUCGUCAGCUCGUGUCGUGAGAUGUCGGGUUAAGUCCUUUAACGAGCGAAACCCUUGCCGUUAGUUACCAGCGGGUUAUGCCGGGGACUCUAACGGGACUGCCGGUG
rnacentral:rRNA from 1 species